ACAGAGUGUGAAAUGGAGACACAGAUGCAAAUCCCCUGGGAUAGCACCCCAUCUUGGCCUGUGAAGUUUUAUCUUACUGUAUGGGAACUGCUGAAUCACAGCCUGGAGCUCUGAUUGAUCACCUGAGGUGGGCACUGAGUCAGCCCUGGGAGCACAGGUGAAGGCAAUUCAGCUGUGUGAUCAGAAGGGGUGGAGCCUGGCUGCGCCUCUCCUAGACCCCAUUUAAGAGCUGACUGCCACUGGGGAAGGAUCUCUUCCUGGAGAUAGCUCCCUUCAGAGUUUUUCUGUGUGCCUACAACAUGGACAGUUUCCUUCCAUGAUGAAAAGUACUUCAUGAGAAAUCUAGGGCUGAGAGCAUUUCAUCUCAUCUUGAACUGGGCAGGUGAUCUUCAGAAAACAGAGUUCUGAAGAACCACAGCUGAUCCCGUGACUUUUUUCACUCUCUGCUAUAUUUGAGCAAAUCAAAUCCUAGUAAAGAAGCGGUCAAAUUCAUUUGCAAGUGAGGUGCAUAUCCAAGCAUGUACUGAAGAAGUCCACAGAAGAGUAUGAGCAGGAAGGACAAGAAAAUAGCCUCCAUAUGGCCCACCAGACAAGAAGUCCACUGAGCUGAUUUCAUAGGAUUAUAGAAUGGCUUGGCUUGGAAGGGACCUCAGGGAUCAUCAUGUUCCAACGCCACUGCCACAGAGUUUACCAACACACCUGCUCCCUGUGGCAGCAUCCCUGGCUAUGCAGUGGCUGUGUGUUUCUCCAUUUUGAAGCAGGAAAUUGCUGCUUGAAAAAGGCAUGUCACCUAGCAGAAUAUGACCUGGAGGAUGCUGCCCUCUGAGGAUGUUCCAAAAGAGCUGGAAGAAGGCAAUGCGUUGGUUGCAGGAAGUCUGAGUGGCAAGGCUCUGGAACAUGCUGCCCAGAAAGGUGGUGGUUGUCCUAUCCUUGGAGACAUUCAAGGUCAGGCUGGAUGGGGCUCUGAGCACCUGAUGGAGCUGUAGGUGUUCCUGUUCAUCACAGGGGAGUUGAAUCAGAUGAGCUUUCAAGGUCCCUUAUAACACAAACGAUUGUAUGACAAUUAUAUGUGGUAUAGCACAUAACAGUGGUUGUCUUCAUCUCUGUUCUUUAUCAGUGAGUAAAUAAAAGGGAAGUCAGAUGCCAGGUCUAACAUUUCUGCUUCCACUCUGUGUUGCUCUUUUCUCAGCAUCUCCAGUUUGAAGUGUUAAGAAUGCAAUAUCUGCAACAAAUUAAUUAGUAAAAUCGUCAAAUGAAGUUAAGAAACUUAAAUUAUUAAUUCUUGAUCUGAAGAUCACAGGGACAGUACCUGUAUUUUCUGCCAUUUCAUCUUUAUACUGCAAGAGGAAAAAAGCAAGAUAGACAUGCUGAAUGGUGAUGAGACGAAGUGUUGAAGUAUUUCUAUUUGGAGACAUGAAUUCAAACAUAUGGAAGGAACUGAGACCCUCUGACCUACACAAAGCCUCCAGACAGUCAAAAGCAUUCCCUUGGUUGCGUGCUGCAAGUGUCUUGUAAAAAUAAGGCUGCACUUAGAGCUGCUGAGCACCACAAACUUCUGAACAUUAAGCUCAGUGGAAAUUAAGACAAAACAUCCCACAUCUCUGUGCUAAAAAGGAGAUGAGCUGCCAAACAGAUUCUGUUGCCAGCUGCUGCCUACUUUGCUCCUUUUAGGAUCUGUCACCUGCUUUGAAAUUCUUGGUGACUAAUGUAGGCCAUCCCCAAUCCUCAGGCAGAAGUCACUGCUACUCAAUUAAUAUUAAAUACUUUUGGCUUAUUAACAUAAUAAUUCUGUUUUUGCCUAAUUGCAAUCUUUAAGGGAUUAUAUAUAGUUUUUUCCUCUCUGUUUGGAAGUCCUAAGAGCUCUGAAGUUAUUGAUCAAAUCUUCCCCACAAAUCCUAAUGGAACCACAAGAGCAUGUGAUAUAGCUCUGAUCAGUCUCUGUGUUGCUAGUGAAUGCACUUCAAGCAAAUGAGAUUUGUUUCAGCUCCAUGUUGCUCAUACAGAUGCUUUGAAGACAUAUGAAAUGAGUACUCCAGAUAAUUUUGGCACUAUUAGAGAUAAGAGUCUUAUCAGGACCUGAGGUACCAACCUAAUUUUUUUUUCAUGAAAGCUGCCAGAGUAAACCCAUGACUCUUCUGAAUCAGCACAUCACGUUUGUUGUGCUCUGCAGAAAGGAGAGAACAGCAAAAGAUAAUGGACCGUGAUAGCACUACAGCUCUGGGAAAUGGGGCAAUGGAAAUAGCAGCAAAUGGUGAUCAAAAUGUCUGUGUUAAAGCUCAGCCCUGGAACAGACUGGAUACAUCUCCUGUUCAGCUUCUUCCUCUGAAAAAUAAGACACUGUUUACUUCAGGCAUUUCUCAUUAAGCUCAGAAAAACAGUACAUUUUUUCUGAUUCUGGAAGGGUAAGAUUGGAAAUGGUGGCCUGAUAUCUGUUAGCAAAUAAAGAAAAGAGGAAACGGACAGUUUUGCAGAUAGUCCUUCUAAGUCUCUGCAAGAGUACUGCUGGAGUAGCAGAUGCUCAAAGGGAGCCUUUACAUACGUGUUACCCAUUUAACAGUGAUAAGAUGAAGCCCUCUGCAGACCGAGUAUGGGAGAUACAAGGAAUAAAGCUUGCCUACAGGUGGUUGACAAAUAAACCAAGUCUUUUAUGCCUAAAGACUGGAUAUUGACAUUUGGCAAACACAAAUCCUAGUGUGGUGGCAAUUCACAAUCCUCUUGAGGCUUUCCAAGGUCUCAGCACACGUGCUAAGAGCUUGCAUUGCCUAUGAACGUUUUCAUCAACCAUCAAUGGCUCAAGUCUUUAUAUUUCACACUACUAUAUCUCUAGGUUGCUAUGCAGCCAAAAAUCCUUGAUGAUUAGCAGAUAUUUGGACAUUCUGGUAAUGAAACCAUGUUAGUUGCCAGAGAAAGUGUCAGUAAUUGAUUGGUGUGAUGCACUAUGGAUUGGAUGAUAGUUUAUUCUUAGGAAAAAGGUUUUCAUCCAUUUUUUUCCCCAGUGUUUUACAUUUGUUCUCAAAACAUGGAAAUCCUAAGGACAAUUUUAGAAAUAAAAAAUUCAUGGCAUGAGGCCAUUUGAUGCUGCCAUUAAGGCACUUCACUGCUGUAUUCCUGGGCUGUCAAGGGAGGAUGGGUGUUGUGUAAAUUAGCAGCAAUCUGCACAUUGCACAGCUGCACAGAAGGACCAAGAGUGAGCUUAACUGAGGGGCAAAAGGGUAGAGCUGGCCAGCAAGAACUGCCUUAUGUAACAGAAAUUAUAAAAAGCCAUUCAGUGUACAAUCGAAAGUGAGAGAAACCUCUGGAUAUGAUGCGUUUAAAAUUCUGGGCUAUUUUGAUACUGGAUCCAAGUCACUCGGAGAGCCCAGUGGUGAUGAAUACACCUCACAACAUGCCUGUUAUUUGCUUUCUGUGUUUACUCCUUCUUUUAGAAGGGUAUCACUCUUUGCUUUUCUGGUCAACAUCAUUUUGGCUGUGUGUUGAUAUACAAUCUCAGACUGCCUGUGAAGAUAGCUUUUCAGCAAUCCCUGCAUUGUGCAAGAAUAGAUUAAGAAAAGUGAAGGGCGAGGUUAAUCAUACUGCUGUGGUUGUGCAGGUGUGCUCAGCACUUUCCUCAAACUUCUGUUGUUAAAGGGUUCCAAGGCAUGUGGUUAAAAAAUGGGCUGCUAACUCUGUAUUCAAACACCUAUAUGUUAAUGGCCUGGCCUGUGAGAAGCAAGGAACAUCCACAUAAAGCCCCAAUGCUCCUCCACACACAUUUGGAGCAUUAUUAUAAAAGGACUCCAAUAUUAAUCCCAUAAACUCCAGAUGGAAGGCUUUAGUAAUGCUAGAAGACUAAGCUCAGUGACUUCUUUGUGAGCUACAUGUACUUAUCAUAGGUGAGCUAGUACGUGGGCCAAGAAGACGUCAGUGAAUGAUUCAUACUUUGAAUCAUUGGAUGGAGAAUGUAGCUGAAAUUAUUCCAAUUUCUUGCUCUGUGUCUCCUUGCAGUAAAGUCUGGUUGAUUAUUGCUUGUUGGUUCUCCUUACUGUCAUUAUUAUUCUCUCUAAACUUCUGCAGCAGCUGCAGUGUUCAUUCUUUCUCUGGAUGUCUAAAGGAGGGGAGAUCAGAGAAUACCAGUAGGUAAAUAACUGUUUUAUUUUGUCAUGUUUUGAUUUGUUUUCUGUCAGUGCUGGAGCAUCUCCUUGAGGAAUGAACAGCUCUGAGCCAUAUCUUGUCCUGGUUCAGGGACGCUGGGUGCUCAGAGCACUGGCUCUUCUGUGGCACAGUGCGUGAAGGGUGAACUGUAUCAAAAAAAGGGCACAAGGAAAAACACAUGCAUCUAAGUUUUUAUCAUUUAUUGGAAACAAGUGUAAACCCCGCUAGCGGCGCUGGGGG
rnacentral:lncRNA from 1 species